GACGAACGCUGGCGGCGUGCUUAACACAUGCAAGUCGAACGGAAAGGCCCUGCUUUUGUGGGGUGCUCGAGUGGCGAACGGGUGAGUAACACGUGAGUAACCUGCCCUUGACUUUGGGAUAACUUCAGGAAACUGGGGCUAAUACCGGAUAGGAGCUACUGCUGCAUGGUGGGGGUUGGAAAGUUUCGGCGGUUGGGGAUGGACUGGCGGCUUAUCAGCUUGUUGGUGGGGUAGGGGCUUACCAAGGCUUUGACGGGUAGCCGGCCUGAGAGGGUGACCGGCCACAUUGGGACUGAGAUACGGCCCAGACGCCUACGGGAGGCAGCAGUGGGGAAUAUUGCACAAUGGGCGGAAGCCUGAUGCAGCAACGCCGCGUGCGGGAUGACGGCCUUCGGGUUGUAAACCGCUUUCGCCUGUGACGAAGCGUGAGUGACGGUAAUGGGUAAAGAAGCACCGGCUAAUUACGUG
rnacentral:rRNA from 1 species